CCACAUCACAAGAGAUAAUAACAUACAUGCAUAAGAAUAAUCAUAUGGGCCCAUAACGAUAUUAGCCGACAUAGGCCAAUUUACAUGACUAAUACUACCUUAAUAACAAGCCAAUGCCUUUGGCUAAAUCAUAAUAUUACAAUACUACCUUAAUAACAAGCCAAUGCCUUUGGCUAAAUCAUAAUAUUACAUACUCACAUUAAAACCCUAUACAUGCCAUAGACUAGAAUCACUUGAGUUUACUUACGCCGAUAGCGUUAACUCGACAGUGUGAUAAUAUCUCUGACGGCCUCCAACCCGAUCUAACCUAGAAACUCUAGAAAACAUGGGAAAGAAGGGGGUAAGCUUUCGCUUAGUAAGUUCAUAUGAAAACAAUAAGCAACUCAUUAACUUGUUUUAUCAAUGUUUACAACAUAUUCUCAAGUUCACUACAAGCUGUCUUCCUGAUCAGCAAUCACUAAAUUAUUUAUAUCUGGAGCUAAGAAACUCAAAAUUAAGUUCCGUUAAUUUUCCCCGAAACUAGACUCAUUUAUCUUUCUUCCAUAAAAUUUCCAGAAUUUUUGACUUAGCGAGUUAGUACAGUUUAUUCCUCAAGUUUGCUCCUGAUUCACUGUCUGACAGUUUCAACCCUUCUGCACUAAAGUUAAAUUAUCUCAUAGUACAGGACCCGACUAAUGUUCUCGUCUAUGUCUCUUGAAACUAGACUCAUAUGUCUAAUUACUAAUGUUUUUCUAGAAUUUUUGGUCAAGCCAUUUAGUACAGUUUAUUAGUUAAAGUUUCCCCUGUUUCAGGGUAUGACUACUCUGACCCUUAUGUACUUCAAACUGAAUUUAUCCCUGUACAUAAUUCCAAUGAUCAUGCUGUUUGUUUUCCUUAAAGAUAGACUCAAUAAAGAAUCCAUGCAUGUAAGGUAUGACUCUUAAUAAUUUUUUACAAUUUACGGUGAAUUUAUAAAAUCAGAACAAGGGAUCUCGAAUUCAUUCAGACCCUGUUCACGAGAAUUUAAAUAUCACACAAUAUAGAAUUCUUUUUCUUCCUCUAUUUCUUUCAUGUGAAAAUAUACUCAUUAAGCUUUAAUCCCAUAUUUUAUUCUUCCUCUAACUCAUUUUCCACUAUUUUUAGUGUAUUUUCAAAGUUACACUACUGCAGUAACUCAAAUCUGUCAAGGCUAAGUUACUCAUUCAUGGUCAUUGUUCAUAAUAUUAAUACAACACCAUUUUCUCCAUCAUGGUAAGAACACAUAUUAUGCAUCAUAGAUCAUCACAUAUCAAGGCAUUCUCAUAGGCUUAGUAUACAUACUUGCACAACUCGUAACAGUACUCGAGUGCAUACUCACCAAUGACUUACCUCAUUGGGACCAUCAUCAACUCUUUCCUUGGAUUGCCCGUUGAACACUUGGAAUACUAAUUGGAUACUCGGAAAAGCCUUUGCACAUAAGUGCCUUAAUUGUAGCUAAAGCUAUCUCAUAUCUCAUGACAUUUCAAUGCUCACUAUCGAGCUAGUCAUCUAGACUCAUACAUGUCACUCAUAUCCUAAUUUAUUUCUAAGGUUCAAACGGGAUUUUUCCUUGCCUAUUAAGGCUUUGUCUUAUCAUAUUUCUGUUAAUCACAUACACAUUAAUAUUUGUACAAUUCAUGUAAUGAUAACAUUUAAAUACAUGUAUAGCAUGGUAUUGUUUACAUACGAACUUACCUCGAUACCACAAAGGUGAAAAGACAUACUCGUCCAUAAAUUGAUUUCUUUCUGUUCUAGGUCCAAAUCUCAAUUUUCAUCAUCUAUAACAUCAAUUUAGCCUAACAAUCAGUCACAAUAUUCAUAUGGGUCUAAAAGUCAUAUUUUUACGAAUUUUCAUUUUGACACCUAAACUUUUGCAUAUUUGCACUUUUGCCCCAAUGCUCGUAAAUUAAUUUUAUCACAUUUCUUUACUCCUUGAGUCUAGAUGAACCAUUUUCAUAACUAUAGCAACUCAUAAUUUCAACUAUUUUACACAUUUACAACUCAUUUUACAACUUAGCAAUUUAGCCCUUUUUAGGGUAUUUUCAUGCAAUUUCUUUCACAAAAGUUGUUUAUUAGACAACUAGGACUCAUAAUUUUCCAUAAAAACACAGAAAAAAACACAUUUACUCUCAUGGUAAAACCCUAGACUCUUCAUCAUUUUGCAAAAUAAUCCCCUCUUAUGAAAGCUCAUGCUUUAGGGGUUCCAAAAAUGUAAAAAUCAUCAAGCAAAGACAUUAAAAUCACUUACUAUAAAGGGAGUUUCUUUGCUGAAAGUUUCCAGCUUCUAAACCCUUUCUUUGCUGCCAUUUUUCGGUGGAGAGAAGAUGAAGAAAAGAUGAUAUUUUCUUUUCUUUAUU
rnacentral:lncRNA from 1 species